rnacentral:rRNA from 1 species
GCCAGAGGAGCCAAGCGUUGUCCGGAUUUACUGGGUGUAAAGGGUGCGCAGGCGGACUGGUAAGUCAGAGGUGAAAUCUCGUCGCUUAACGACGAAACUGCCUUUGAUACUAUCAGUCUUGAAUCCGGUAGAGAUCUGUGGAAUUCCGAGUGUAGCAGUGAAAUGUGUAGAUAUUCGGAAGAACACCAGUGGCGAAGGCAGCAGAUUGGGCCGGUAUUGACGCUCAGGCACGAAAGCAUGGGGAUCAAACAGG